rnacentral:rRNA from 1 species
GACGAACGCUGGCGGCGUGCUUAACACAUGCAAGUCGAGCGGAAAGGCCCUGCUUUUGUGGGGUGCUCGAGUGGCGAACGGGUGAGUAACACGUGAGUAACCUGCCCUUGACUUUGGGAUAACUUCAGGAAACUGGGGCUAAUACCGGAUAGGAGCUCCUGCUGCACGGUGGGGGUUGGAAAGUUUCGGCGGUUGGGGAUGGACUCGCGGCUUAUCAGCUUGUUGGUGGGGUAGUGGCUUACCAAGGCUUUGACGGGUAGCCGGCCUGAGAGGGUGACCGGCCACAUUGGGACUGAGAUACGGCCCAGACUCCUACGGGAGGCAGCAGUGGGGAAUAUUGCACAAUGGGCGGAAGCCUGAUGCAGCAACGCCGCGUGCGGGAUGACGGCCUUCGGGUUGUAAACCGCUUUCGCCUGUGACGAAGCGUGAGUGACGGUAAUGGGUAAAGAAGCACCGGCUAACUACGUG